rnacentral:rRNA from 1 species
AUGAUAUGUUUUAACUGUGGUGGAUCGGGACACUAUGUUGGAAAUUGUGUGAAGCCGAAAGCCUGCUUUAUCUGUCAGCAGAACCACAACGUAAACAACUGCGCAGCAUGGUCUAAGAUUCAACCUACUGCUGCCUUUUUCGGUGGUGGAGCUCAAGGCCUUGGUUUCUACCAUGUGGAUGUGCCUGUUGCAAAUGAAUCCAAAUGGUUAAACUUCCAGAAUUGUGCAGUGGUCAACAUCCUGAAGGGGGAUGUGGAUUGUGCCAAACUGAUGGAAUUGCUAUCUGCUACUUUCUGUAAAACUAAACAUUGGCCUUGGCAAAUCAGAGGGCUCUCUAGUAAGACCUUUCUGGUCAGGUUCCCCCCUUGGAAGAAAGUGGAAGAUCUUAUUGAAUUGUCUGGGUUCUCCCUGCCACAGGAUGUCAAUGUGACACUAACUGAAUGGAAGGGUGGGUGUGACCCCUUUGGUGAGUUGAUAGAAGCCUGGAUACUGAUUGAGGGGAUUCCCCCAAAGUGGUGCACUUGGAAAGUGUUUGCACAAAUUGCCUCAUUGUUUGGGGUUCUUACAGAUGUGGACUGGAAUGAGAUGUUCAGAACUUUCUUUGAGAAUGUCAGAGUUAAGAUAGCCUGCAGAGAUCCAACCAAGAUUCCUUUUGAGAGACUGAUUGAAAUGAAGAAGAAGUUGUUCUUGCUUGGCUUCACUGUUGAGGGCUUUGAACAAACAGGUGGGGUUGAUUCUGUUAUUGAUGUAGAUGGGGAUGAAGAUGAUUUUGAGGAGGAUGAGAGAGCUGAGGAAGAUCAGACAGGA